rnacentral:rRNA from 1 species
AGAGUUUGAUCCUGGCUCAGGACGAACGCUGGCGGCACGCCUAACUCAUGCAAGUCGAACGGAGAUGAUUUGAGUUUACUUAGAUCAUCUUAGUGGCGGACGGGUGAGUAACACGUGAGCAACCUGCCUUUGAGAGAGGGAUAGCUUCUGGAAACGGAUGGUAAUACCUCAUAACAUACAGAUACCGCAUGGUGACCGUAUCAAAGAUUUAUCACUCAAAGAUGGGCUCGCGUCUGAUUAGAUAGUUGGUGAGGUAACGGCUCACCAAGUCGACGAUCAGUAGCCGGACUGAGAGGUUGAACGGCCACAUUGGGACUGAGACACGGCCCAGACUCCUACGGGAGGCAGCAGUGGGGAAUAUUGCACAAUGGGGGAAACCCUGAUGCAGCGAUGCCGCGUGGAGGAAGAAGGUUAUCGGAUUGUAAACUCCUGUCUUAAAGGACGAUAAUGACGGUACUUUAGGAGGAAGCUCCGGCUAACUACGUGCCAGCAGCCGCGGUAAUACGUAGGGAGCGAGCGUUGUCCGGAAUUACUGGGUGUAAAGGGAGCGUAGGCGGGACGGCAAGUCAGAUGUGAAAUACAUGGGCUCAACCCAUGGGCUGCAUUUGAAACUGCUGUUCUUGAGUGAAGUAGAGGUAAGCGGAAUUCCUGGUGUAGCGGUGAAAUGCGUAGAUAUCAGGAGGAACACCGGUGGCGAAGGCGGCCUACUGGGCACCAACUGACGCUGAGGCUCGAAAGUGUGGGUAGCAAACAGGAUUAGAUACCCUGGUAGUCCACACUGUAAACGAUGAUUACUAGGUGUUGGAGGAUUGACCCCUUCAGUGCCGCAGUUAACACAAUAAGUAAUCCACCUGGGGAGUACGACCGCAAGGUUGAAACUCAAAGGAAUUGACGGGGGCCCGCACAAGCAGUGGAGUAUGUGGUUUAAUUCGACGCAACGCGAAGAACCUUACCAAGUCUUGACAUCCAUCGACGACUAUAGAAAUAUAGUUUUCCUUCGGGACGGUGAGACAGGUGGUGCAUGGUUGUCGUCAGCUCGUGUCGUGAGAUGUUGGGUUAAGUCCCGCAACGAGCGCAACCCUUAUGUCAGUUACUACGCAAGAGGACUCUGGCCAGACUGCCGUUGACAAAACGGAGGAAGGUGGGGAUGACGUCAAAUCAUCAUGCCCUUUAUGACUUGGGCUACACACGUACUACAAUGGCGUUAAACAAAGAGAAGCAAGACCGCGAGGUGGAGCAAAACUCAGAAACAACGUCCCAGUUCGGACUGCAGGCUGCAACUCGCCUGCACGAAGUCGGAAUUGCUAGUAAUCGCAGAUCAGCAUGCUGCGGUGAAUACGUUCCCGGGCCUUGUACACACCGCCCAUCACACCAUGAGAGCCGGGGGGACCCGAAGUCGGUAGUCUAACCGCAAGGAGGACGCCGCCGAAGGUAAAACUGGUGAUUGGGGUGAAGUCGUAACAAGGUA